AUUGAACGCUGGCGGCAGGCCUAACACAUGCAAGUCGAGCGGGGUUUUCGGACCUAGCGGCGGACGGGUGAGUAAUGCGUAGGAAGCUACCCGAUAGAGGGGGAUACCAGUUGGAAACGACUGUUAAUACCGCAUAAUGUCUACGGACCAAAGUGCGGGACCUUCGGGCCACAUGCUGUCGGAUGCGCCUACGUGGGAUUAGCUAGUUGGUGGGGUAAUGGCUCACCAAGGCGACGAUCCCUAGCUGGUUUGAGAGGAUGAUCAGCCACACUGGAACUGAGACACGGUCCAGACUCCUACGGGAGGCAGCAGUGGGGAAUAUUGGACAAUGGGCGCAAGCCUGAUCCAGCCAUGCCGCGUGUGUGAAGAAGGCCUUCGGGUUGUAAAGCACUUUCAGUAGGGAGGAAGGGUGUUGUGUUAAUAGCACAGCAUUUUGACGUUACCUACAGAAGAAGCACCGGCUAACUCUGUGCCAGCCGCCGCUGUAAGAC
rnacentral:rRNA from 1 species